GCCUCGGUGGUGUAGUGAUAGAGCCCGCGUCCCAAAUAAGAUGAAACGCGGGUUCGACUCCCGCCUGAGGCC